rnacentral:lncRNA from 1 species
CCCAAUUGCUCCCUCCAACGAUCCAAAUUUCUGAAAUUCACAAACACAGCAAAUCCAUUAGCAAUUUGACAUGAUUAGUACAAUCAAAAUUCAUAGGAACAAACAAACUUUGCGAGCUAAUUAAAUAUUCACACACACUGCACUCACACACACUGCAUACACACACAAACUGAUUAUAGACACAAUGCACAACAUUCACACACACAGUCACAUAUACACUCACACGCACACCCGCACAUACUGUGUCAUACGUACACACACACAAUUCACACAUACACCCAGUGGCGGAUCCAGGAAUCUUACCCCAAGAGGUCGCAGUGUAAAAGUUCAAAUAAAAAUUUAGGAUGGAAAAACAUAUUGAAAAUGAAAUCAUAGUACUUUCAUUCAUAAUUCAUAAUGGAAACAAUAUUACAAACUAUAAUUGUCCACGACGAGGUUUCAUAUUUUGAAAACGAAGCAUUAUAGCUUCAUUUUCAAUACAAGCAAAAAUAUCUCUCUCAAUAUAAACAAGCAAGCUAUCACUCAACCAUUGAUCUCCCAUUUUGUUCCUAAGUAGACCCUUAACAAUAUUCAUGACAGAAAAUGCUCUCUCCACUGAAGCAGUUGCAACUGGUAAAACUAAAGACAAUGUAAUGAGCAAAUAUACAUAAUUGAAUACUUGAUGCAUCCUUGUCUCCACCAUUUUUUUUGCAAGAUCACCAAUCCCUUCCAAUUGAGAGAAAUCACUACUGGAACACACAUAAUGAAUAUAAAUUUCAAGUUGAUCUUCAAGUGCCAAACGAUCUUCAUCCGAAAAGUCUUGAGGAUAAAAUUGAGCAAGACAAAGUAACUUUGGUUUAUCAAAAGCUACAAAUGAAUCUUUCGGACUCAAACAUGCCAUACAAAUAAGCAACUCGGUAUUUUACCUCAUUAAAGCGAUCCUCUAACUCCGUAAUUUGCUCAUCAAUGACAUAAAUAAAGAGCUCCACACGAUAAUGAUGACGAUUUGUCUUUAUUGGAGCAUAACGCCUUGACCUCCCUGGAAGUAUAAAUGCCUCUUCCAUGUUAGGAACAUCAAUAUGAUGUUUUUCACAAAAAGAAGAUACUUCAUCAACCAAUGCAUCGAACCCAUUAUUCCUCAUCCAAUAUAGCUUUUCCUUGCAUGAUUUCACUAAAGCCAUUGCAUUCACAAUUUCUUGAUCUUUCCUUUGCAAUGCUUGUGACAAAUCAUUUGUGAGUCCCAAUAUGACUUUCAUCAAGAAAAGGUGAAACACAAACUCAAAAGUAAGUAUCACUCUCAUUAACUUAUUUGCUUCACCCGCACUUUCAUUGGGAUUAUCAUCAAUAACCAUUUGAAGCACAUGAACCACGGAUGAAAACAUAGAAAUGAUGCUAAUCAAGGUACCAUAGAGAGUUCCAUCGUGUGUCACCGGCACGUUUGAGACUUGUUUCUUGAUUUAAGCCUCGCCCCGUUAUAAGACAAUCAUUUUCAAAAGCUAUCACAAGCUCUUCUUGAAGUUGCCCUCUAAGUGAAUCACGCCGCUUACAAGAUGCUCCAACAUAAUUAACCACACUAUUAGCCGUUGCAAAAAAAGAGGCAAUGUCUAUAUUCUUCUUUGCUACGGCAACAAGAGCUAGUUGAAGUUGAUGAGCAAAGCAAUGAACAUAAUAUGCACAAGGUUGUUCUCUCAAUAUCUUUGUUUUAAGGCCAUUCAACUCACCUCUUAUAUUGCUAACACCAUCAUAACCUUGUCCUCGUAGCUUGGAAAUGCUCAAACCGUUGCGAGAAAACAAUGUGUCAAUAGCAUCCUUUAGUGAACUUGAAGUAGUGUCGGUAACAUGUUGGAUACCCACAAAUCUUUCAAUUACAUGCCCGUUGUCAUCCACAUAACGCAACACCAUAGCCAUUUGCUCUUUCACAGACACAUCACGUGCUUCAUCCACCAAUAUUGAAAAGAAUCUAUCUUUUAGACCAUCCAUGAUAGCAUCAAGUGUUUCAAGGGCACAUGAAUUCACAAUUUCUUUUUGAAUGGAAGGAGCUAGUAAUUUGAGAUUCCCCGGAGCAUUUUCCAUCACAACUUCUCUAACUUUAUCAUUAUUAUCUGCAAGGAAUUGCAAUAACUCCAAGUAAUUUCCCCUAUUGCUUGAAGUGGCACUUUCAUCAUGGCCACGAAAAGGAAGAGCUUGUCGCAAUAAAAACUUAGUGCACUUGAUUGAAGCAAUCAAGCAUGUGCGAUAAGCCUUACGAGCUUGGUCAGAGUGUUUGCUCACUGCCGUUUCAAUAUGUGUAGCUUGAUUCAUCAAAUUUGUAGCAGCUUCUCUAGCCUUAUUAUGAACACUCCCAACCGGUCCAACAUGCAUCUUAAAUCUUUCUCUCCCUUUCUUCCAAUUCUUAAAUCCAUCUCCAGUGAAAGCUUCACUACCCACUUGUUCAAAAUUGGUUUUAAAGAGAUAGCAAUAGAGACAAAAUGCCGCAUCUUUAGAUACACUAUACUCCAACCAAUCAAACUCAUCAAACCAUUGGGGAAUGAAGCGUCGAUUAAUUCCCGACAUAUUAGUUAUUGGGAAAUUAUGACCUCUAGGUUGACAAGGUCCUUUUUGUAGAUAUAAUCUUCGGACCUCAUCUCUCAUAUUAGCAUCAUAAUCUAUUAUUCGAGUUCUUAAUCCAGGAUCCGCUUGAAGAUUACCCAAAACAUCAUCUAACUGACUUUGUCUUGAACUUGGAGUUCUUGAACUACCAACAGUAUUUGAACUAUCAACAUUAUUCGAACUACCCGAACCCGAUGAUGACUUUCUCUUAAAAAACCGUUCCAUAAUAAUGCUACAUAUACAAAAUAUUCAAAAUAAAUACUCACAAUAUAAACAAACCAUAAACAUAAUCAAAAUAAAUAUGAAUUGGAUUUCAAUUAAAUUAAAUAUCUCAUCUUGCAUUCUACAUAUACAAAAUAAUGAAAAUAAAAACUCACAAUAUAAACAAACCAUCAAUAUAAUCAAAAUAAAUAUGAAUUGAAUUUCAAUUAAAUUAAAUAUAUUCUACAUAUACAAAAAUAUUCAAAAUAAAUACUCACAAUAUAAACAAACCAUAAACAUAAUCAAAAUAAAUAUGAAUUGGAUUUCAAUUAAAUUAAAUAUCUCAUCUUGCAUUCUACAUAUACAAAAUAAUGAAAAUAAAAAAUCACAAUAUAAACAAACCAUCAAUAUAAAAACAAACCAUCAAUAAAAAACAAACCAAUAAAAACUCACAAUAUAAACAAACCAUCAAUAAAAACUCACAAUAAAAACUCACAAAAUAAAUAUGAAUUGAAUUUCAAUUAAUUAAAUAUAUUCUAUAUAUACAAAAUAUUCAAAAUAAAUACUCACAAUAUAAACAAAGGGAGGAGAUGGAGUUGGAGCCGCCAACAGGGGAGCAGCAAGGGAGGAGAUGGAGUUGAGGGUUUGGGGGCAGCAGCAGCAAGGGAGGAGAGGAGUUGAGGGUUUGGGGGGAUUGAGUUAGGGUUGGAGGAUGAGAAAACAAAAGAAAUUGGGGCUAUUGAUUGUAUAGGAGUCGGGUAGGAAGGCUGGGACUGGGGGGGACACGGUGGGAAUUUCUUUUUUUUUUUUUUGUUCGGCCUGGCCCAAAACGACGCCGUUUUGGCCAGGUCAUUUAAAAAAUUUUCCUGGGCCAAAACGACGCCGUUUUGCCCGUCUGUUUUGAAAAAAAAGAAGCGCGCGCGAGCGCUGCUUCUUCUUCCUCUUCCUGCCGAGUCUUCGUUCAGGCUUUUUGUCGAACAGUUGGCGUGCGAGUCCGACCCCGACGACCCCAGCUCCAAGAGGUCGCAUAUGGGAGCUUCAAGGUUGUUUCCAUAGUUUCCAAGGGGUCGUGCGACCCCGACGACCCCACUGUGGAUCCGCCACUGCAUACACCGCCAUGAUAAACCACACUGCAUACACUUACACACUCACACAUUCCCACAUACAAUCCACGUGUAUUACUUUGCACACAAAAUCUUUAUCACACAUACACUAUCAUGAAAAACCAUUUUGCAGAUUUGACAUCCAUUAUAGCACAAAUUAGGUUAUGUUCGUAUCUCUUCAAUAAUAAUGUAUACAUUUCCACUUUAGCACAAUUUUGACAUCCAUUCUAGCACGUUACAAAAACUAUUAUCAACAUUUGUGUAUUAAGAGAUAAACUAUAUUCUUAAUCUGGUAUCAAAAUGGUGUUAAUUUGGGCAAAAACAUUUGUGUAUCGUAUAGUUUUUUUUAGCAAAAAUUAACUAUCCAUUCAUUUUAGUAUUUGUAUUAUCUACAGGAAACACAAUACCUAACCAAUUUCAUAAUCAAAUUCAGCAAUGUAUACAUUUCCCUGGUGAUUUUAGUUUACACUACUCUUAAUAUAACAUGGUUCUUUCUUUUUAAAGUACUUUGUAUUAAUUCUUUUGUGAACAAUUACUCAAUAGCAUCUGUCAAUACUUUAAACAAAGAAGGAAUCACUCGAUUUACCCUUCUAGAUUGGGUUGAAUGGUGGCCAAGUGGCCAUUACCUUUUGGCUAUUAAACAAAAAAAAAGAAAAAAAAAAAAAAGAAGGUGAAAGACAAAAUGAUAAGGGAACAUCAUGAUGAAGAGGCAUCAUGAUUAUGUUUGUUGAAAAGAAAAAAUGAAGGUCAUGAUGAUGUUUUUGAAAUUUUUAUUGGGUGUUUUUGUAUUGAUGAAGUUAUCAUCCGAAUGUGAGAGAGGUAGUGAAGGGUGCACCAUUUUUUGUUUUAGUAGCCCAUCUUUGAGAAAGCAAAGAGAGCUGCAGAGAGCAGAAAACUGAGAGCAGAAAAGAAGAAGAAGGUGCUCUUCUUUUUGGUUAGUAAUCACCCACCAAGGUAGUUGUUGUUGUAAUAGCUUUGAGCUUUGUAUAGAGAAGAAAUUAAUCACUAUAUUUCUUUCUCUAUUUGUUUCUUUGGUGUGUGAAAGCUAUUGAUUGUAUUGGGUUAUUUGGGUUGUGAGAUUGCCAACACUUUGUAAACUUCAAUUUGGUUGAUAGUGGAUUAUUAGGUGAGCUCUUACUGCUCCGAGGACGUACUCCAAUUACAUUGACUGUUGAGGAACCUCGUUAAAAUCUUUGUGUCUUUUAUAUUUUGUUCUUGCAUUUUCAUUUGAUAAAUUUCUUGUGGGUUAACUUGAGUUUGUUCCAUAAGGUUUGGUGCUAUCCUAGCACAACAAUUGGUAUCAGAGCACUGGUUGCUCUUGGGUACUGUCUAGUUGCCAAAGAUGUCAGACGGGCAAGAUGAGAAUCCUUUUGGAAGCAGCUCCGGGUUUGCAAGAACUACGGUGCAAAAUGCAAAGUUUGAAGUGGAAAAGUUUGAUGGCACAAACAACUUCGGGAUGGGGCAAUGUGAGGUCAAAGAUGUGUUGGCUCAACAAGAUCUACUUGCCGCUUUGGGAGAGAAGCCGGAAGCUAUGUUGAAGUUGGAAUGGGAGAAAUUAAAUUUGUGGGCUUGCUCUUCAAUUCGGUUGUGCCUUGCAAAAACUCAGAAGUAUUUUGUGAUGCGGGAGACAUUAGCAAGUGUGUUGUGGCAACAAUUAGAAGACAAGUAUAUGACAAAAAGUGCAGAGAACCGGCUACACUUGAAGAAAAAGCUCUACCGCUUCCAAUACAAAGAAGGUACAAAAAUGAUUAGACACCUUGAUGCUUUUAAUAAGUUGAUUGCCGACUUGUUAAAUUUAGAUGAGGAUAUUAAGGAUGAAGAUAAGGCCUUGAUAUUGUUGAAUUCCUUGCCAGACUUUUAUGAGCAUUUUGUUACCACUAUUAUGCAUGGUAAAGAAACUGUGAAAUUUGAAGAUGUGUCAAAUGCCUUGAUAAAUUAUGAAAUGAGGCAUAGAGAAAAAAAUCAUUAUAGUACCUCUGAAGCUUUAUUUGUUAGAGGUAGAUCAUCGGAGAGGAGGUCCUCUACUAGUAGGAAAAAAUCACACUCUCGACCUAGAGGAAACUCUAAAGGUAGAAAAACCUUGGAAAUGGAUGAAUGUGCCUUUUGUCAUAAUAAGGGCCAUUGGAAGAAAGAUUCUCCUAAGUUGAAGACCAAAGGAAAAGAAAGUUCUGAAGCCAAUGUUGCUGAGGUUGAAACAGAUAUUUUUUAUUUUGCUUUAACCACUUCCUCAUCAUUUGAUUGUGCUACUAAAUGGGUGUUGGAUACGAGUUGUACUCAUCAUAUGACUCCUCACAAGGAUUGGUUUUCAAGCUUGAAAGAGUUUGAUGGUGGUGUUGUGUUCAUGGGAGGUGACAAUCCUUGUACAACAAAAGGGAUUGGUACAGUUCGUUUGAAGUUGCAUGAUGGCAUGGUUAAAGAGUUGACAGGUGUUCGGUAUGUACCGAAUUUGAAGAAAAAUCUUAUUUCUUUGGGCACUUUAGAAUCCAAGGGCUUCAGGUUUCAUUCAGAUGGGCAGACAUUGAAAGUUACUUAUGGUGCACUUGUUGUGAAGCUCCUAGAUAUGGCCAUUUGUAUUUAUUGCAGGGAAGCACUGUGACAGGUGAAGCAUCUAUAGUCUUAGAAAAUAUGGGCACAUCCGAUUCUGAUACUACUAGACUGUGGCAUAUGAGAUUAGGCCAUGCCGGUGAGAAAGCUCUACAAGGGCUUGUGAAACAAGGUCUUCUAAAAGGUGCCACAACUUGUAAGCUUGAUUUCUGUGAGCAUUGUGUCUUGGGGAAGCAAACUAGAGUGAAGUUUGGUACUGCUGUACAUUAGACGAAGGGCAUUCUUGAUUAUGUGCAUUCGGAUGUUUGGGGUCCUACAAAGACUCACUCUUUGAGUGGUAGACAUUGGUUCAUGACCUUUGUUGAUGAUUAUUCAAGAAGGUCUUGGGUCUACACUAUGAAACACAAGAGUGAGGUAUUAAACAUUUUCUUGGGUUGGAAGAAAAUGGUUGAGAACCAGACUGGGAGAAAGAUUAAGAUUUUGAGAUCGGAUAAUGGUGGUGAAUACACAUCCAACCCUUUCUUUAAAGUUUGCAAAGAGGAAGGGAUUAUGAGACAUUUUAGUGUCCGGGGAACUCCACAACAAAAUGGAGUUGCAGAAAGAUUGAAUCGAACCUUGCUUGAGAAGGUUAGAUGUAUGUUGUCUCAGUCGGGUUUAAGCAAGUCAUUUUGGGCAGAGGCAGUUAAUUAUGCAUGUCACAUCAUCAACCGGUUACCCUCAGCUGCUGUUCAGGGUAAGACACCAAUGGAGGUAUGGACUGGAAAACCUUAUUCUGAUUAUGACUAUAUCCGUAUUUUUGGUUCACCUGCUUAUUUUCAUGUGACUGAAAAUAAACUUGAUCCUAGAGCCAAAAAGGCUAUCUUUCUUGGUUUUAGUAGUGGUGUCAAAGGUUACAGGUUGUGGUGCCCAAAGAUGAAAAAACUUGUAAUCAGCAGAGAUGUGACAUUUGAUGAAUAAAGUAUGUACAAAGACUUUGAGAAGAAUGUGAAAGAUGUCCAACAGGUGGAGCUUGAGAAGUUGCCUCUGGUACUUCAAAUCCUAUUUCCGCUGAUGUCGAAGCCACUACAAGUGAAGAAGUUGGAGACCAUGAGGAUGUUGAAGAAGUUGAACUUGAAGAUUCUAUUCAAGUUGAAGAGCAAGUUUCACCUCAAGAGUCUAUUGUAAAGAACAGAGGAAAGAGACAAAUUACCAAGCCAGCUCGGUAUAGUGACUAUGUUGCUUUUGCUCUUCCUAUUAUCAUUGAUGAUAUUCCAUCCAAUUUCGAGGAAGCCAUUGAGAGUGAGGAGAAGAAGAGGUGGUGCAAUGCCAUGAGUGAUGAGAUGAAUUCUCUCUUGAAGAACAAGACUUGGGAGUUAGCUAAAUUGCCUAAGGGCAAGAAAGCUAUCGGUUGGAAAUGGGUGUAUGCCAAGAAGGAAGAUGCUGAUGAGAAAAGCAAUGUAAGAUUUAAAGCAAGAUUAGUUGCUAAAGGGUAUGCACAAAAGGAGGGCAUUGACUACAAUGAAAUCUUUUCUCCAGUUGUGAAGCACUCCUCAAUUCGCAUUAUGUUAGCUCUUGUUGCACAGUAUGAUCUUGAGCUUGUGCAACUUGAUGUGAAGAUGGCUUUCCUAUAUGGUGAUUUGAAUGAAGAGAUCUAUAUGUGUGAACCGGAUGGGUAUACAGUGAAAGGGAAUGAGAAUUUGUUUUGCAAAUUGAAUAAAUCACUUUAUGGCUUAAAGCAAUCUCCAAGGCAAUGGUAUUUGAGGUUUGAUAAAUUUAUAAGAGGCCAAAAUUAUUCUAGAAGUCAAUAUGAUCAUUGUGUGUACUUCAAGAAGUUGCAAGAUGGGUCUUUCAUUUAUUUGUUGAUAUAUGUUGAUGAUAUGUUGAUUGCCUCAAAGAAUGUCGAAGAGAUUGAGAAAUUGAAGAAGCAAAUGAAGAAUGAGUUUGAGAUGAAGGAUCUUGGUGAAGCGAAGAAAAUCCUUGGCAUGGAGAUCACUAGAGAUAGAUUUGGGGGUUGAUCAGAAGCAGGUGGAGGUACAUUGUGAUAGUCAGAGUGCCAUUUAUUUGGCUAAGUAUCAGGUUCAUCAUGCGAGGACCAAGCACAUAGAUGUGCGUUAUCACUUUGUUCGUGAAAUUGUUGGUGAAGGGGAAAUCAUUCUCCAGAAGAUUCCAACUAAAGACAACCCCGCUGAUAUGUUGAAAAUGAUGAUGGAACAUCAUGAUGAGGAGGCAUCAUGAUUAUGUUUGUUGAAAAGAAAAAAUGAAGGUCAUGAUGAUGUUUUUGAAAUUUUUAUUGGGUGCUUUUGUAUUGAUGAAGUUAUCAUCCGAAUGUAAGAGAGGUAAUGAAGUGUGCACCAUUUUCUGUUUUAGUAGCCCAUCUUUGAGAGAGCAAAGAGAGCUACAGAAAGCAAAAAACUGAGAGCAGAAAAGAAGAAGAAGGUGCUCUUCUUUUUGGUUAGUAAUCACUCACCAAGGUAGUUGUUGUUGUAAUAGCUUUGAGCUUUAUAUAGAGAAGAAAUUAAUCACUAUAUUUCUUUCUCUAUUUGUUUAUUUGGUGUGUGAAAUCUAUUGGUUGUAUUGGGUUAUUUGGGUUGUGAGAUUGCCAACACUUUGUAAACUUCCAUUUGGUUGAUAGUGGAUUAUUGGGUGAGCUCUUACUGCUUCGAGGACGUACUCCAGUUACACUGACUGUUGAGGAACCUCGUUAAAAUCUUGGUGUCUUUUAUAUUUUGUUCUUGCAUUUUCAUUUGAUAAAUUUCCUAUGGGUUAGCUUGAGUUGUUUCCAUAAGGUUUGGUGCUAUCCUAGCACAACAGAUUGCAUUUCAAGUUAUACACCAUACCUGAAUGAAUUUUCUAGAUUGCAUUUCCUAUAUGAAUUCUGUAUUUAGGCAGUAAACUGUUGGAUAUAACCAAGGUCCUAAUUCCUAAUCACUUUAAUUGAUCAAAGUGGCCAAGCAAAUCUUCUUGCAGUUUGUCUUUGAAAAAAUCCUACUUGGAGUAAAAAUAAAUAGUAGUAAGUUAUAGCAUAACCAGUAAAUUGAAUUUGACCUACAAAAAAACAAUUUGACCACUGCACAUAUAACUCCAUAAAUUACUUACCACAUCAACCUUGAGAGGUCCAACAUGUCUAAAAGUCGCAAAAACUUUUCCAUGUUCAGCUCUAAUCACCUACAAACACUGAAAAGCAGAGGAAAACAUAUAAAUUCAUUAAAAUUCUCUACCCACGGAUAAGUUAAAAAUCGAAAGCACUGACCAUUCCAAGGAAAAGAGCAGCCAUUAUUAGGAUCCAAAACUCAUUCCUUAGUCUCCUCAUCUGGGUACUCGACUCCGUAAUCUUUGCUUUAUUUCCAUUAUAUAUACACACUUUGUCAUUAUAUAUUUUUCUAGAAAAAAACCCUAAAAGUUAGACGAUUCUAAUCACUGAAAUAGAA